rnacentral:rRNA from 1 species
UACAGAGGGGGCAAGCGUUAUUCGGAAUUAUUGGGCGUAAAGGGCGCGUAGGCGGCUUUGCAAGUGACGGGUGAAAUCCCUCGGCUUAACCGAGGAACUGCCUGUCAAACUGCAUGGCUUGAGACCGGGAGAGGUGAGUGGAAUUCCCAGUGUAGCGGUGAAAUGCGUAGAUAUCGGGAGGAACACCUGUGGCGAAAGCGGCUCUCUGGACCACAACUGACGCUGAGGCGCGAAAGCGUGGGGAGCAAACAGG